rnacentral:rRNA from 1 species
AAUGAACGUUGGCGGCGUGGAUUAGGCAUGCAAGUCGCGCGCGUAGCAAUACGAGCGGCGAAAGGGACAGUAAUGUGUAGGUCAUCUGCCCUCGAGACGGGGAUAGCCACGGGAAACUGUGGGUAAUACCCGAUAACGUCUCCGGACCAAAGGUGUGAGUCCGCUCGAGGAUGAGCCUACAUCCUAUUAGCUAGUUGGCGGGGUAACGGCCCACCAAGGCAUCGAUGGGUAGCGGGUGUGAGAGCACGACCCGCGUCAUUGGGACUGAGACACUGCCCAGACACCUACGGGUGGCAG